GCCAUAUCAAUAAGCGGAGGAAAAGAAACCAACAGGGAUUGCCUUAGUAACGGCGAGUGAAGCGGCAAAAGCUCAAAUUUGAAAUCUGGCACCUUCGGUGUCCGAGUUGUAAUUUGAAGAAGGUAACUUUGGAGUUGGCUCUUGUCUAUGUUCCUUGGAACAGGACGUCACAGAGGGUGAGAAUCCCGUGCGAUGAGAUGCCCAAUUCUAUGUAAAGUGCUUUCGAAGAGUCGAGUUGUUUGGGAAUU
rnacentral:rRNA from 1 species